UUUUUUAUCUUCGUAUCUAUUUAACACAAUUAUACUACAUUUAUUUAGUUCAUCUACCAUUGUGAUAAUUUAUAUUUGAAACAUCCAUAGCUAAAAACUUUUGAAAACUUUCUUUUAAGGUUAUUGUUAUGUCUACUAUAAUACAACUUUUAAUUAAAUUGGUGUAAUGAAUUAAUCGAAUAUGAAUUUAAGUAAAAAUAUUAAAAGAAAUAAUGAGUAAUAUUGUAAAAUACAUUGCGCUCACAUAAAGCAGUGAGUAAUAUGGUAAAUAUAUUUUAAUUUGUUUAUAUUAUUUAUAAAAUCAAAAAAACCUGUAUAUUUCUAUUUUAUUAUUUCAACUAAAUCAUUAUUUAUCAUGAAUGAAGGAUCUUGACAUUAAGCAUUGAAGCAUGAAAUUUUUUGAAGAAAUUAUGGUGUUUUUGUUUUUACUUUGGUACUUUUUCUCUUUUUGUGGUAAACGUGUAACUGAGGUGGAUCAUGAACCCAAGCCACUUUCUGCCGUCCACCACAGAUUAACCAAGCUUGUGACAUGUGGGUUGAUUAAAAGACUCUAUGAAGAAGUAGCGUGAAGCUUCACGAUCUUGUAGGGCACAGUUUAGAAACCCCAGGAGAGAGAGCGAGAACGAGAGAAAAAUUUAACCGCGUGGGGUCUGUGUGUUUUUAUCCCAUGCCACGUGACUCAGCAUUUAUUUUAAACGUGGACCACGCCGCCUGUUGAUUCCAUGUUAUUUCAGUUGACUGUAUGCUGAGUAUCUUUGACCCACCCCUGUCUAUUUAAACCACAACCGUCCAUCCGAACCUAUUAUUUAAUUUAAUAUUAUGUUUACAUAAUUUAAUUAUUUAAUUAAUAAAUAAAAUAUAAAAUUAUUUAACUACAUAAAUAAUAUAAUAUUUUUUUAUUUUAAUUUAACGGAUAAAUAUUUAUAAAAACAACUAUAAUUUUAACUUUUAACUUUUAAAAAUAUAAACAUUUUUUUUAACCUAAAGUAAAAUUUUACUAAAAUACGUAAGCCUAAUUGCACAUAUAGACUGGUAAGCCAUCACUUUCUCUUUUUAUGGGAGGGAUGUGACGGGAGUUUAAUUUUAGUAUAUUCAUUAUUAAAAUUCGUUUCACUUUGAUAAUAAAUUUAAAUAUUCAUUAUUAAAAUGUUUAUGAAUAAAUUUGGAUAUUCGUUCACUUUUUUUUUAAGGUAUUUAUCAGAACGAGCCCAGUAAUUAAUCCUCUACAUUCUACAGACUCAUUAAAGAUGUAAAUGCUAGUCAUAAGUUUUAAAGUUAUUCUAUACUCAAUGCGAGAAUCAAAUCCUCGACUACUGGUUAAGGUAAGAGAGACCAUUGUCAUCUCACCUAACUCCCGUGGUUAAAUAAUCCCCACUUGCACACGACAAGAUUCGAACUUGGAACCCAAAGGAAAGCUAAAGCCUUACCAUUGAACCAGCAAAUUCAUUCACUUUAUUUUUAUUUAUAAUAAAUUUAGGUUUAAAUAUUUUUUUAGACUUAGAGUCUCUUUGGAUGGGCAUUUACCUCUAGUACGGUGCGUUUAGCUUACUUUUUAUCUCACGUUACAAUAUUGUUACAAUAUCUAAUCUCACCGCCACCGUUAGUUUUAAAAUGACUUAAACAAAACUAUUCCUUUUUAAGGGGGCAAGAGUAUUGCCUUCCCCAUUAACACUAUCAUCGGGCAUGUACUUCAUAAAAAAUCAGAAAAAAAAAAUUAAAAAUUUAUCAAUGUCAACAAUGAAGUACAUGUAGAUUGACAUACGAGCUGCCACAUCAAUGCCGUUAACGUUUUUACAAUUCAUUCAAUUUUUUAUCUAACAAAAAGUAAUUCAGCAGAACUUUUAAGGUUAAGUGUCAAAAUGAUAAAAAAAAUAUUUUAAGACCAAAAUCACAAAAGAAAUAACCCAUCACUUUCUUCUAAUAUAGUCCAUAGUGAACUUUCUUGGAAAUAAAAAGAUGAUUUUAUUUUGCAAACCAUAAAAGUCAAAUUCUUAUGGGGCCCUAAAGUAAAAUUUUACCAAAACUCGUAAGCCUAAUUGCACAUAUAGUUUGGUAAGCCAUCACUUUUCUUUUUAUAGUAGGGAUGUGAUGGCUGUUUAAUUUUCGAAUAUUCAUUAUCAAAAUUCGUUUUCACUUUAAUAAUAAAUUUAAAUAUUCGGCCAUUUUACUAAAAUAAUCUAAAAAAUAUUGAUAUUUACAAAAAUAACCCAAGUUCAAAAACAAUCACAAAAAUAACCUGAAAUGAACAGUAAAAUUGGGUUUUGGCCAAUCAAUGGCCGGCACUAACUCGUAUUUUGCACCCAUUAUUGCCAAAUGAUUGUGUCAGGCUUUAAAAAAUUAAUUUUUUUAGUUUUGGCCUGUCAAUGGCCGGAACCAUUGUAUUUUUUUUUUAAAUCGUAUCAUAUUGGUAUACAAAAUACGAGAUAAAAAAAAUUUUGGGUGCUAGCCUGUCAAUGGCCGGCACCCAGUCAACCAAAAAAAAAUUCGAAUUUUUUUCAAAAAAUUUUUUUUUUUGCUCUCUAAAAAUACGAGUUUUAAAAAAAAAAUUUAGGUACUGGCCUGUCAAUGGCCGGCACCCAGUACAACAAAAAAAAAUUGAUUUUUUUUCCAAAAAAAAUUUUUUUUGCUCUCUAAAAAUACGAGUUUUAAAAAAAAAAUUUGGGUGCUGGCCUGUCAAUGGCCGGCACCUAGUACAACCAAAAAAAAAAUUUGAAAUUUUUUCAAAAAAAAUUUUUUUUUGCUCUCUAAAAAUACGAGUUUUAAAAAAAAAAUUUGAGUGCUGGCCUGUAAUGGCCGGCACCCAGUACAACCCAAAAAAAAAUCGAAUUUUUUUUUAAAAAAAAUUUUUUGCUCUCUAAAAAUACGAGUUUUAAAAAAAAUAUUUUUGGGUGCUGGCCUGUCAAUUGCCGGCACCCAGUACAACCAAAAAAAAAUUCGAUUUUUUUUCAAAAUUUUUUUUUGCUCUCUAAAAAUACGAGUUUUAAAAAUAAAAAUUUUUGGGUGCUGGCCUGUCAAUAGCCGGCACCAAACCUUAUAUAUAGUGCAUGGUUUGGUUCUAAUGGUGUAAAUGGAAUUAAAAAAAAAUUGAGAGAGCAAUCAAAAUAAGAGUGUUUUAUAGGAUAUUAUCAAAUUAGUUUUUUGUAGUGGAUUGUAGGUGGGAGUUUUUCGUAGUGUACAACCAAAUUUCGAGGUUGAAUUAUAUACUGUCAUGUUUUAACGAAGUUGAAUUAUAUACUGUCAUGUCCACCCUAAAAGUUAUGCCAUUAAGUGUUGGAUAAUUAUUUGCGCCAUAGAUUGUUAAUCAAGUUGUUCAACGCAGAUGGACAUUAUCUAUGGUGCAAUGGUGUUUAUUCCACAAUUAAGUUGUGCUUUGAACCGGUUGGUAGAGUCUCCAUGCAAAGGUUUAUUUUUAAUUUUACUGACUGUUUCAGAUAUCCAAUUAUCUUAUACUGAUGCAACGUAGACCUGAUACAAGCAGAAGACGAUUAAUUAUGAAUAAACUAAUAUAAAAAAUAAUUUGGUUAUUUCUUAAGAAUGUUUGUAUUUUUUUAUAUCUUUAAAUUAUUUUUUUAUAUCUUUAAAUUUAAUAUAGUUGUUAGGAUUUAAGGUUUAAUUUUUAUAUUUUCAUGUAUUAAUUUCUUAGAAUGUUUUUACUUUUUUGUAUCUGUAAAUUUAAUUUAAUCUGUAAUAUAUAAAUUUUGAAUUUCAAAUUAUCGUGUAUUAAAUUUACCUAUCUGUUUGUAGUCUGUCGAGUGUUUAAAUUUAAUGUAGUGCAUAUUUUUUUGUAUUAAUAUUGUAGAAUGAUUGUAUUUUAUUGUGCAUGUAAAUUAAAAUUGUCGUGUACUAUUACAUAUUCGAAUUUCGUUAUAUAUUUCAAAGUCAUUUAUUUAAACAAAUAAUUACUUUAGAGAUAUAAAAUUAAUAUUAAAAAACAGAAUAAUUUCACUAUAAAAGAAAUAUUUACAGAAUAAUUUUAAAAUAAAGUAAAAAUUAACAAAAAAAAUUUAAAAUUGUUGCGAUCCCGGUGACGUCCCCGAUGCCGGCGUGUAACGGUCGGGAUCCCUCCGUCUGCUAUGUCGUGCACCUCGCUCAGGCGUUUGGUAAUUGCUCGGUCCAGACUCCGGUGUCCCGUCCGGUGUACUUAAAAAAGUAGAAUAAUCAUAUACACCAUAAUCGGGAGUAACUGGGUAUUGCGUGAUCGGAGGUGCUGAUGGAAAAAUAUCCUCGAUGGUGGGUGUACGUGCUUCGGGAUGGAGCUCCGGGAGUUCCGGGUGGUAUGAGGACGAUCCGGAUCGUGUCGAAUGUUGAGGCUCCAUGUCGUCACCAAAAAUUUUCUUGAACAAUGGAGGAAUAUCUCGCAGUGGAUCCGGAUCCAUGGGGUGUGAUGAUGAGCCGGAUGCUUCAUAUUCUGGCUCGAGAUCGGGGUCGAGGUAGUAUCGGACUCGACGUCACCGAAUGGUGGAACUCGAUUACUGCGCGGUUGUGCGUUCCUUGGUUGCCAUCGAGAAGAUUCCAGUUGCGCGUCUUUUUGGAUCAGCAUGUAUUUACCUUGGAAUAUAAACGGUUUUCCGUAUGCCAUAUACCAUGUUGCGUACUCAGGCGUAGGAGAAAACCCUCCCUCUAAGGCAUACAAGAGAGGGCGCCUCGAAUGUCGCAUAUUCUAUAGAAAGAUAUAUGGUUCAUGUUUUUGCGCCCAAUUUAAUGCGUCUCGACCCGAACCCUUUUUGUCCAUUCCAUGAACUUCUUUAAUGUUGACGGGAGGGUUCGGAAUAGGUUGUGCGCAACCAAACUGCCUCAAAACCCGACUUCCAUCGUGCCACUCCACCAUAUGGAAAUUAAUCAACGGCACAUUUGACACGAACAGCUGUUGCUGCUCGGUAACCCAUGAUGGUAUGAGUGCUGCGAUAUGUUCCUCAUUAUAUGGCAUCCAUAUGAACUGAAUAAUAUAAAGAACACGUUAUAUUUAAUUUUUUUUCUUGCGCAAUUAUUGUAUUUAAAAAAGAGAAAUUCGAAUUUGUCUUUUACAGCAUCCCCUGAAUGAGUCUCCAUCAUCAUACGGUACAUAGGUACCGUGAAAGAUCGGCCGAUUCCCGGUACAGUUGCCCAUCUAAAAAAAAAGGAAAAAAAAUAUCGUAUUAUUUCCAAUAUGAAAAAUAUAAGUAUACUAGAGUAUACAAUUAAAAAAUAGAUGGCAAAAUUAAACUAUAUAUUUACCUAUUAACGAGUGGCCAGACAUACGGUUGAUGGCUCACCGAUGCUAGAAAUGGCAUUCGAUAUAAUGCCCAAGACUGCAGUAGAAGGCAGCAACCGCCCAUUGUUUUUGUAGACGGCUUUGUUGCUCGACAAAGUUCGCGGUAUAAGCAUGCCAACACUGUAGAGCCCCAACUAAAUCUGCCGGCAAGCUCGAGAUCUUCUAGUAAGGGGAGAUACAUUAAUGAGACUUUAUUUUGAUUUACGUCCGGCAUCAAUAUCCCACCUAUAAGUUGAAGAAUAAACGCUCUCGCAGCGUAGAUAACAUCCAUCUGCGUUGGAUUUCUCGGAAGAUGUUGGAAGUUUUGUUUUAACCAAUUAAAUUUAAUACGUGUUAAUCGUCCUUCUUCGUCGUUCGGUGGCACCCUUCCAAGUAACCGCUCGCAAGUGCUCCAUGGAUCGGGCACUCUUCCAAGUCCGGUCACUGCUUCGCCGUUUACAGAAAGCCCUAGUUGGACUGCUACGUCUUGCAGUGUAAUGGUAACCUCUUCACACGGGAGGUGGAACGUAUGUGUCUCCGGGCGCCAUCUUUCAACUAAAGCCGAUAUUAAAUCGGCUCGUAGCUCAGAUAUCUGAAUGUAUGCGACCACCCCAAAACCCGCUACAUUCAAAUACGUAUAUAUAUAGAUCUCAUAAAUUUGGUGCCGGCCAUUGACAGGCCAGCACCCAAAAAAAAUUUUUUUUUAACACUCAUAUUUUUAGAGAGCAAAAAAAAAAUUUUGAAAAAAAUUCGAAAUUUUUUUUUUGGGUUGUACUGGGUGCCGGCCAUUGACAGGCCAGCACCCAAAAUUUUUUUUUUUUAAAACUCGUAUUUUUAGAGAGCAAAAAAAAAUUUGAAAAAAAUUCAAAAUUUUUUUUGGGUUGUACUGGGUGCCGGCCAUUGACAGGCUAGCACCCCAAAAUUUUUUUUUUUAAAACUCGUAUUUUUAGAGAGCAAAAAAAUUUUUUUUUGAAAAAAAUUAGAAUUUUUUUUUGUUGUACUGGGUGCCGGCCAUUGACAGGCCAGCACCCAAAAUUUUUUUUUUUAAAACUCGUAUUUUUAGAGACCAAAAAUUUUUUUUUUGAAAAAAAUCAAAAUUUUUUUUGUUGUACUGGGUGUCGGCUAUUGACAGGCCAGCACCCAAAUUUUUUUUUUUUUUAAACUCAUAUUUUUAGAGAGCAAAAUUUUUUUUUAAAACUCGUAUUUUUAGAGAGAAAAAACUUUUUUUUGUUGUACUGGGUGCUGGCCUGUCGGCCAUUGACAGGCCAGCACUCAAAAAAAAAUUCGAAAUUUUUUUUUUGUUGUAUUGGGUGCAGGCCAUUGACAGGCCAGCACCCAAAAAAAUUUUUUUUUUUAAAACUCGUAUUUUUAGAGAGCAAAAAAAUUUUUUUUUUGCUCUAAAAAAUUCAAAUUUUUUUUUGGUUGACUGGGUGCAGGCCAGCACCAAAAAGAAAAAUUUUUUUAUCUCGUAUUUUGUAUACCAAUAUGAUACGAUUUAAAAAAAAUACCAUGGUUCCGGGCAUUAACAGGCCAAAACAAAAAAAAAUUAAUUUUUUAAAGCCUGACACAAUCAUUUGGCAAUCAUGGGUGCAAAAUACGAGUUAGUGCCGGCCAUUGACAGGCCAAAACCCAAUUUUACUGUUCAUUUCAGGUUAUUUUUGUGAUUGUUUUUGAACCUGGGUCAUUUUUGUAGAUAUCAAAAUUUUUUGGAUUACUUUAGUAAAAUGGCCUAAAUAUUCAUUCACUUUGUUUUUUUAUAAUAAAUUCGUGUUUAAAUAAUUAAUUUUUUUAAAUUUACUAAAUACAAUUUUGUAAUAAUCUUAUUAUAAUUUCUAAUUAUAUUUAUUUUUUUGACCAAAUACUUAGAAUUAUCCAUAGCUCAUUUUCAACCCAUAAAUAGGAGGAUAAUGCGAUUCAGCGCAUUUAAACCCACGUCCUCCUAUAUUAACAAUAAUACUCAUAUCAAUCGAGUUAAAACUCAAUUGACUUUUUGUGAUAAACUUUUAAACGUUGAACAUAUAACUUAAUUAAUUCAAAUUUAAAUAAUAAUAUUCCAUUUAUAUUUUAUAGUCAAUUAAGUCCUCAUAUAAGGUUGCUUAAUGUGAUGUCAUGCCAAUGAUGCAAGCAUGCACGUCAACGUUGUAUACUAGAUGAAUCGAGUCCCUUUCUCAUUUAUCUUUUAUAUAAUAAAAAUUAACUAAAAGGAUUUUUUUUUAAUUUUAUUUGUGAAAUUAAAAAUUAAUUGUAAGUAAAAUAUAAUAUUUAUAAUAUAAUAUGAAUUUAACAAAAUAAAAUAUAUUUGUGCUUGCAGUUCGACUUUCAUUUUUAAAUUGAUUAAAAUAAGGGCGAAACCAGAACAAUCUUUUAGAGGCAAAUGAAAUUUUAAAAUUUUAUAGUUUAUAUCUUUAUAAUUUUUAAAAGAUUAAAUCGAAUUUUUAUAAUUUUAGAAGAUAAAAUACUAUUUUAUCUUUAUUAAUUUAAAUUUUUUAAAAAAUUUAAGGGCUUAAAUAAUAAAUUUACAUUUUAGGGUGAGCAGAAGCUCAUGCUAGCCCCCACUAGAUUCGCCACUGGAAUAAAAUAUUUCAUAAUUCUAUUAAUUAUCACUUAUUAUUAAAACUUUUGUUGCAAUUAUAGACAAAUACUAUUUUGGGCUUCAAUAAUAAAACAAAUUAUCCUCUCUAAAGCCUAGGGGUUUCUAAAUGGGCCGAGGAUAGCCCAUUAUAUAUCUCCAACUCCAAAGAAAGCAAAAAUGCAAAAAAUUUGAUUCAAACUUGAAUUCCAUUUUAUUAAUAAAUAUUUUAUUUAAAUUUAAUUUAAAAUAAUUUUGAGUUAGUUCAUCAUACAUUCUCAAAUUACAAUCUUUAUUUUAAAUUAAUCCCUAAAUUUUAAGACGUUUUAAUUACAUCUCUAAACUAUCAAUACUAUAUCAAUAAGGUUUAUUCAUUCUUGAAACUGUUAAUUUAACAAUCAAAUUACAUGUAAAAUGGCAUAAUUUAAAAUUAGAAUUUAAAGAAAAUUUAAAUGUUGAGACAUGAAUUUUAAAAUUAAAAACUGAAAAAAAAAGAGUGGUUCAUAAAAACUCUACAAACCUCAAACCUAAAAUUUUUAUAUCUAUUUUUCUUAAACAUUAUUGAUAUAACAACGAUAAUUUAAAGAUAUAACUACAAUAUUUACAUUUAUCUCACUUUAUAGUUUAUUAUAUAUUUUUUACAUAUUUAAUUUUUCACUAUACCUUAAAGUUAACUUCUCGAUUUUGCUUGUAAAAUAUAUAAAAUAAAAUAGUGUCAUUAUUUUAACCUACUUAAGCUUUUUUGGAUGAUUAACUUUAUCUUGUUUUAAAUACAGUCAUUUUGUUUUUUUUUUUGUUUUUUAUUAUAAAAAUUUAUACUAUUUUUAGUUUAGUAUUUAAUAAUUUAGUAUUUUUUAUUAAAAAUUUAAAUUAAUUUUUAAUUUUUACGUUACAUUAUUAUAAAUUUAUUUUCAUAUGAUUUAAAUGACAUAAUAUAUAAAUAUAAAGUAAUCAAUAUAUCACAUAAUAGGUCUAACUUUUUUUCUCUCAAUUCCAUUUUUUGCCUAAUAUUUUUAUGGCAUAAUGACUUAUUUAGUUAUGUUAGCCCUCUCUUUAAUUUUUAUUUUUUUUAACCCUUAAACUUACGUUUUUAUUAAAUCACUCUAAAAUAGAUUAGAAAAGUUAAAGUUUGUUGACUUACCAUGUGUAUAUCACAUCAACAUUUAAUUAAUUUUUAAAAUUUUAAAAAAUUAAUUAAAUAUUGACAUGUCAUCUCCGUGACAUUCCACGUAUAUGCCACGUUAGCAAUGUUAACAAACAAACUUUUUCAUCCAUUUCGAGAUGAUUUGAUAAAAAAAAAUACAAAUUCAAGAGAUAAAAAAGACAAAAAUAAAUUAAAUGAAUAACUAAAAUAAUUUUUCUCGUAAAAUGGAAAACCAAAAAAAUUGCCUAUAAAAAGAAUUCAAUUUUUUAUCAAAUAACACAAUCUUUUAACAGGAAAUUUUUUAUUUCAAAACUAAUCAUGUAAAAAAAAAAGUUGAUUGGAGCAAAUAAAGUGAAACAUUUAAGACAAGAACGAAGUGGAGAUUUUAUAACACAAAAAUAGAGGACACAAAUCCACUUAAAACAGAAAAGGAAAACAACAUUCUAUUAAGACACAAAGGGGGGAUUUCCUUUGUUUGUGUCCAAUAUAGAUUUUUUUUUCUUCCCUUGGAGCUUAAUUUCCCAUUUAGAAAGCUCCUCUCUUGAUAGCAUCGUCAUUAGCAUUUCCAAGGGCAGCUUCACUCAAAUAUUUGUCAGCCAAUUGAACCCUCUUCACGUUCUCUUGUUCAGCAACAAGCAUGUUUCCAUACUCCAACAGCUUCUCAAUGGUCAUCGUAGGUUGCUCGAAAGAUGGUGGCCCUUCCCUCGAGUUCACGAGCUUUUUCCCGACACUAUUGACUCCUACCUCUCCGAUCCAUUUCCUCACUUCGUCAUCGUAAACCCUGGCCCUUAGAGCACCGAAAAAGUCUACAAAUUGAACCAACACACAUGCAAAUACACCGUUAAUGAUAAUUCCUAUGGGAUCUAAUUAUGGUUAAUUUAAUCUGAAUAAAUUCGAUACUUCUACUUUUAUAAUGUUAUCAGAAUGUCUAAAUUGAUAACAUUAUUAGCUGUUAAAUAAUUGAUGACUAAAUAGACUUAAAAUUUGGCUGAAAUGUAAAUUUAUUGUAGAUUGAAUAUGAUGCUAUCAAUUUAGACCUAUUAAUAGGAUUGUAAUCGAGCUCAGCUGAGCUCAUAUACUGAGAAGUUCAAGCUCAAAUUUAAUUUAGAACUCACUGCUCGAAACUUAGGUCAAGCUCAAUCAAUUAUUACUAUAUAAGCUUGAGGUCAAUUAAGCUCAUUCACACACAAUUGUAUAGUCAAACUCGAGUUUAAGCUUGGCCUCGUGCUAUAUACCGAUUUGUUUAGAUGAACUAUUAAUUUAUUAUCAAAUUAUUAAAAUAAAUUAAUAAAAUAUACAAAUUAGGCUCACAAGUUGUUCCAAUCAAGUACUAAAAUACUUGAAUUCUGACUUACUCAAUAGCUUGAGUUGCUUGAGAAUGAUUGAAUCAGAUUCGAAUUUUUAAAUCAAACUUGAAUAUUGUAAGCACACCAGAUUAGAAGUAUUAACUUUUGAAUUUUAGCAUUGUGGAGGGACUAAAACAAAAAUUAGACCUUUGUAUAGAGACCAUGAAUUGAAAAAGUGUUGAACGAGAAGCUUACCAAUGGAUUGGCCCGGGAAGGUGUCAACAAGCUUAACAAUGUCAUCAACGGGAACAUUGUCGGUCCUGAAAAUACCUGUGCAAACACCGAUCCUAUCUUCCCUGGUGGGUGCCCAGUAAAACUUCUCCAUACGACCGUCACGGAUGAGCGGCGCGUACAGCGUCGAGAAAUCGUUACCGGUGACAAUGAUCGGAACACGAGGGUUCUCUUCCUUGUUGUACAUACCGGGGAGCUGAACGUUGGUGGGGUUAUCAGCGAUGUUCAUGAGUGUGGCGUUCACCAUUUGGUUGUUCACUGUGUAUUGUGUGGUUCCUCCCAUACGACCGGCUCCAGCGUCGAGAUCGUUGAUAAAGAGGCAACACAUUUUCCCUUUCUUGAUAAUGUCGGCGGCCUCACGGUACCUUUGCCUGAUCAACUUGGCUGGUUCUCCGGCGUUCCCACUUUCCAAUUCUCCGGCACUCAUCAUAAUGGGGCUGUAAUGUUAAUUCAUUAUAGCAAUUCAUUAGCAUGUUUCUAUUUGCACAAUAGACCCUAAAUAUUUACAUAUUUCAUUAAUUUUGACUCUACUUUUAAAAAACCAACCAAAUUAAUCCUCAAUUUUAUACAUUUUUAUCUAUUUUAAUCAUUAAAGUUAUUGACAUUUAGUGUUAUAAUCACCUCUGUUAAGGCAAAUUUUUGUUUAGCUCAUCUAUAGAUUGUAAAAUUUUAAGUUAACACAAAAGAAUAAUUGCAUUUUGCUUCUAAAAAAAUUAUAAUUAAAUUCUAAACCCUCUAAAAAUAGAAAAGUUAUAAUUUUAACCCUCUAAAACUAGUAAAAUUUUAAGUUAAUACAAUAAUAAAAUUGCUAUCUUAAUAUCUCUAGAAAUUUAUAGUUUAAUUAUAGCACACAAAAUUUUUUGACUUCAUCGGUGGCCAUGUAAUCAAGACCUUGAAUUUGCAUCUAAAAAAACAUGAACUCACUUGAUUCCCAUCUUGGCAAAGACAAGCUCACAUUGGAAAGAUUUUCCUUGACCUUUGCCUCCCCAAAUACCCAAGAUAAGAGGAACCUGUAAGAGAAACAAUUGUAGUAAAAUUUGGUAAAUUUAAUUCUAUUUUAUUUAAAAAAAAAAAAAGAGAUUUCACUAUAUAUGUUAUAGGUGACACACAUACCUUAAUGUUAGGAAGGGUCAUGUAGUUCUUGGUGAUGUGAACAACAAGCUUGUCCAUGAAAGCUGGGGCAAUGUAGAAUCCAUCCAUGUUGUUGUCCAAGUCGU
rnacentral:lncRNA from 1 species